GGCCCGCCCGCCCUCACAGACAGCGGGGCGAUGGCCGGCAUGAGACCCCAAACACCAAGUGAAGGGAAUGACUUGGACUAAUGUUUCACUGAGCAGGCCUGAGACUAUAAUCAACCUCUGAGGUUAAAUUACAAAGCACCCUUCACACCUCAAAUGACUGAGGCUUUUAUAUGACCCAGCAAUGAACAAGCACAGAGGGACAGGCAUCUCCCACACAAGGGGGACAUCACUAAUCUGGGAGUUAUGUGGACACAAUCUGCUAUGGGUCAGACGCUUCCCUCUGAAGUCAUGUAAGGAGCGGUUCCAAGACACGAACAGCGACAACAAAUGUUACAGAUAAGCUCACAGAUGAGUCGGCCUGUGACGCCUGGGAGGCACAAGGACCCUGAACAGAGCGGUCAGCAGUGCCGAGACUGGCAAGGAGGUGACAGUGGUCUCAGCAAACGGAGAGGCUUGGUAUACUCUGAAUAAGUGUGUAAGUAUCCUACAAGGCCAACUCUCUCCACUGCCUCCUCCCACCACGUGUGCUGAGGCUGGAACUGGG
rnacentral:lncRNA from 1 species